rnacentral:rRNA from 1 species
CGUAGGUAACCCGCCUCUUAGCGGGGGAUAACUAUUGGAAACGAUAGCUAAUACCGCAUAAAAGUCGACAUUGCAUGAUGUUGACUUGAAAGGUGCAAAUGCAUCACUAAGAGAUGGACCUGCGUUGUAUUAGCUAGUUGGUGAGGUAACGGCUCACCAAGGCGACGAUACAUAGCCGACCUGAGAGGGUGAUCGGCCACACUGGGACUGAGACACGGCCCAG